AGCCUUCAGCCAAUCAGCAGCCAGCAUCUGAAGCUCUUGCGGAUUAACGGUAUUGUGUUAUGUCCACCGUAUUUAAUUUGUGUUUCUGCGGGUUGUGGCGGACCUAAGAGCGCCCUCCUGUGCGCCACCCGGCCUGAUGGAGAACCCCGGUGACCCGGUGGAUCGUCUGUCCAGGAAGCGGCAGGACUCCUUCGGGAUGCUGGACAGUCUGGAGGAGGACCGGAGCAGCUGCAGCACCGACUCCAGUGGGGCGAGCGGGGCGUCUAGCCCAGAGGACAGUGAUGAUGAUGAGGAGUUCAUAGGAGGGGAAGCUCAGCUCAUCCCCUCCUCCUGUGCCUCCUCCUCCUCUCUGAUGCUCAUUAAGACCAACGGACAGGUGUACACCUACCCCGAUGGGAAGACGGGCAUGGCGACCUGUGAGAUGUGCGGGAUGGUCGGUGUCAGAGAUGCCUUCUACAGUAAAACCAAACGCUUCUGCAGCGUCUCCUGCUCCAGAAGUUACUCGUCCAACUCGAAGAAGGCCAGCAUACUGGCCCGGCUGCAGGGGAAGCCGCCUACAAAGAAGGCUAAGGUUCUGCAGAAGCAGCCUCUGAUGACCAAACUGGCUGCUUACAGCCAACAACCAGCCAGUCAGCAAAGCGGUGCCAGGAAGAGCAUAUCUGUCGACGGGUUCGACUGGGGUCAUUACCUCGGAGAGGGCGAAGUGUCGGGAGCGCCGGUCAGCUGCUUCAAACACGUCCCAAUGGGGAAGUCGUGGGGUGACAUCAGUGAAGGAGUUCGAGUUGAGGUCCCAAACACUGACAGUGGACUUCCUAUGAAAGUUUACUGGAUCGCCUCCAUCAUCAAACUGGCUGGUUUUAGGGCCCUGCUGCGUUAUGAGGGCUUCGACAGCGACGCCACCAGAGACUUCUGGCUGAAUCUGUGUGUUCCUGACAUCCAUCCUGUUGGCUGGUGUGCAGCUGGAGGAAAACCUCUGGUCCCCCCUCUGAGUCUCCUGCAUAGGUCCACCAACUGGAAGAGUUUUCUCAUCAAGAGACUGACUGGAUCUAAAACUCUACCACUGGACUUCUCAACCAAGGUAAAGGAGAGCAUGCAUUUUCCCUUUAAGAAGCAGAUGAGGGUGGAGGUGGUGGAUAAGACCCACCUGUGUCGGACCCGUGUGGCUCUGGUUGAACAGGUGAUCGGCGGUCGCUUGCGACUUGUGUACGAAGAAUGCGAUGAUGGGACGGACGACUUCUGGUGUCACAUGUACAGCCCUUUGAUCCACAGCAUCGGCUGGUCCCGGUCCAUCGGGCACCGCUUCAAACGGUCAGAUGUGACAAAGAAGUUGGAUGGGCAGAUGGACGCACCUGGACAGCUGUUUGCCAAGGUGAAGGAGGUGGAUCAGAGCGGACCCUGGUUUGAGGACGGGAUGAAGCUGGAAGCUAUUGACCCUCUGAAUCUGUCUGCCAUCUGCGUAGCCACAGUAAGAAAGGUCCUGGCAGACGGGUAUUUGAUGAUUGGCAUUGAUGGCUCUGAAGCUGCGGAUGGUUCGGACUGGUUCUGCUAUCACUCAACCUCUCCGUCCAUCUUCCCCGCAGGCUUCUGUGAGAUCAACAGCAUCGAUCUGACUCCGCCCAGAGGUUACAGCAACCUUCCCUUCAGGUGGUUCGAAUAUCUGAGGGAGACCAAGUCUGUGGCUGCUCCAGUUCACCUCUUCAACAAGGAAGUCCCAAACCAUGGUUUCCGUCCUGGGAUGAAGCUGGAGGCCGUAGACCUCAUGGAGCCCCGCCUCGUCUGUGUUGCUACAGUAACCCGCAUUGUCCACCGGCUGUUGCGGAUCCACUUUGAUGGCUGGGAGGACGAGUAUGACCAGUGGGUGGACUGUGCAUCCCCGGAUCUGUAUCCUGUUGGUUGGUGUCAGCUGACAGGGUACCAGCUGCAGCCUCCUGCUGUGAACACAGGGUGUAGAGAUCUGCAGUCUUCAGCAUCAAAACAGAGGAGGAAAUCCCAGCAGUACAGAGGACAGAAGAAAAGUACGUCUCCCAGCUCGUCCUGAGAGGAAGUUACCUGUCGCUAAGCGCCCCAUCAGCCCCUCCGGCACCAUGGUAGCAGGAGUUCCCAAGAGCCUAUCAGGAGAUGAAAACGAGACUCCUCAUGAUUAUCCAAAACCCCUUCUUCAGGCCUCAGACGCCCAGCCAAACCCCAACACCAAGGGGGGGGGCAGAUCUGCAGCUGCAGGAGGAGAACAUUAGUGGCAUGAGGUCUUCAUCACAGAGAGGGACAGAAAUGAAUGGCUCAACAGAUUUCCUCUCCAGCACAAAUCAGUAAAACUCCUCUUAUCACUC